UCUUUGAUUCGUACAGCUUUUUUUGUGUGUUUUGGUGCACUUUCCCUCUUUUUCAUUAUUUCUUCCAUUUGUUUACGUACUUCAUCGAUUUGUGAUUCUUUCUCGGCUAUUUUGGCCUGUAAACAUCAUAAAGUAAAUGUCAGUUAGAUUACACAUAUUCACAGUUGACGUUUAAAUCAUUGCGAUUACUUUACCUGAAGCUCUUCAUUUUCUAAGGAGCUACCAAAGGAAAGGCUAGAACCACGCUUCCUUACCAGUUCCACUAUUUUGGGUAUAAAUAUCAGUGCCAUGGAGAUGAAACAGCAGAAGAUUAUAGUGAAUGCAAUGAAGGCGAAAUGGGCAUCAACAUGGUUGACAAUAACAAGUGACACCGGACCAGUAAUCAUACAAAGGAUCUAAGUGUGAUACAGAUUAUCAACAAAAGAAAGGACAACGAGUAAAAUAUUGGUUCAUGGUUAAUUUAAAGCUAUUCACCCGUCUCUAGUUUAGUUACAAGUUGAAUACAAAUAUACUUACAACAACAUUGUAUAUGCUCAUACCAGCCAGCCUAGAAUCAUUGAGUCGCUUCAAUUUAACACUUCGAGUUUCGUAGGCUAAGAAAAGACCAAAAAGUAGAAGUAAACCUUUAUAACUGAAUAGAAUGCAGUACCAAAUUAGAUUGGCGUCACAUCGUUCUAAUCGCCGGACAAUCUAUAUGGAUUGGAAUAGCAAAAAUACCCAGUCAGUAUUCAUGUUUAUGAAUGAUGAAGGAAACACUAUUUGGUUUUGAACAAAAAUUCACCUUAAUAUUUUCAUCAUUGGGAUCAUCUGCAUCUUCUUGUUCCAGCUUUUCAGUUAUUCGGAUCAUUGGACUUUUGAUGAACCAACUGGUCAAAAUUGCGAUAUCAAUCACACAGAAUAAUGAUAUCAUCAAAAUGACCUGUGCAUUUUCAACCUGUUCAAUUAAUCAAAAACAAAUACAUCUUAUGAUGAGUGUCUUCAAACUGGAAAUUUGAUAGAGAAGCCUCUUUUUACCUUUGAUUUACUGGAUUCCUCCAAUUGAGUCGACAAUCUGUAUGCAAACCAAACCUUUGUGAACAUGGCUCCGAAAAAGAGAGAAAAGCUUAUUGAAAGUAACACAGCUCUACACUAAAAAUCCGGGAAUAAAGAAAUGAAUUUAAAAUUGUGUAUUUCUGUGCAUGUAAAAUCAAAAUCAACUUACAUGACAGAGUUUAGUGAAAUCCCUCUGACUGAUCUUUUGACUGUCCAGGCCAAAAAGGACAACUGAUGACAAACAGCCAAUACAUCCUAUCAACAUUAUAUAAUUUGACAAUGGUUGUGACAUUUGGAUGUACCUAAAAUAUUUAAGAUAAGUCCAAUUGACCAAAUAAUUCCGAUGGCGGCGAUUGCGUUGAGAGUUACAAAAAAGGAAAGUGACACUGUUUUAAGCUGUUCAACAAUUACAGUUCGAUCUUUUGGCGGUGAUCCUGUUUCAAGCCAUUGAGGU